rnacentral:rRNA from 1 species
AGCGAACGCUGGCGGCAGGCUUAACACAUGCAAGUCGAACGGGCGUAGCAAUACGUCAGUGGCAGACGGGUGAGUAACGCGUGGGAACGUACCUUUUGGCUCGGAACAACACAGGGAAACUUGUGCUAAUACCGGAUAAGCCUUUACGGGGAAAGAUUUAUCGCCGAAAGAUCGGCCCGCGUCUGAUUAGCUAGUUGGUGAGGUAACGGCUCACCAAGGCGACGAUCAGUAGCUGGUCUGAGAGGAUGAUCAGCCACAUUGGGACUGAGACACGGCCCAAACUCCUACGGGAGGCAGCAGUGGGGAAUAUUGGACAAUGGGCGCAAGCCUGAUCCAGCCAUGCCGCGUGAGUGAUGAAGGCCCUAGGGUUGUAAAGCUCUUUGUGCGGGAAGAUAAUGACGGUACCGCAAGAAUAAGCCCCGGCUAACUUCGUG